UACGAAGGGUGCAAGCGUUGUUCGGAAUGACUGGGCGUAAAGGGUUCGUAGGCGGGAACGUAAGUCAAGUGUAAAAUCCCCGAGCUUAACUUGGGAAGGCCACUUGAAACUAUGUUUCUUGAGUCUUAGAGAGGGUAGUGGAAUUGCUGGUGUAGGAGUGACAUCCGUAGAGAUCAGCAGGAACAUCAGAGGCGAAAGCGACUGCCUGGCUGAAGACUGACGCUGAGGAACGAAAGCGUGGGGAGCAAACAGG
rnacentral:rRNA from 1 species